UAGGGAAUCUUCGGCAAUGGACGGAAGUCUGACCGAGCAACGCCGCGUGAGUGAUGAAGGUUUUCGUAUCGUAUAGCCAUGUUGUUAGAGAAGAACGUUGGUAGGAGUGGAAAAUCUACCAAGUGACGGUAACUAACCAGAAAGCGACGGCUAACUACGUGCCAGCAGCCUCGGUAAUACGUAGGUCCCGAGCGUUGUCCGGAUUUAUUGGGCGUAAAGCGAGCGCAGGCGGUUCUUUAAGUCUGAAGUUAAAGGCAGUGGCUUAACCAUUGUACGCUUUGGAAACUGGGGGACUUGAGUGCAGAAGGGGAGAGUAGAAUUCCAUGGGUAGCGGUGAAAUGCGUAGAUAUAUGGAGGAACACCGGUGGCGAAAGCGGCUCUCUGGUAUGUAACUGACGCUGAGGGUCGAAAGGGUGGGGAGCAAACAGG
rnacentral:rRNA from 1 species